ensembl:snRNA U2 U2 spliceosomal RNA
UUUGCUUCUCAGCCUUUUGGCUAAGAUCAAGUGUAGAAAUAUGAAGCAUUGGUUUUAAGUCGUUUUGAUUGGAUUAUCUUCACUUUCAUUUUUGUAUUCUGGAUACAGAUCCUUCCUUGGAUAUAUGUAUUUGAAACAUCUCCC